rnacentral:lncRNA from 1 species
CGCCCCUCUGCCACAAGGCUAGUCUGUCAGGUCAGCCAAAUCCACUGAAGCCAUACUGGAAGAACCUUGUGACCCUCUCACAAGAGCAGCUCCCACAGCGCCCAGUGCCUGGCAUGUGCUCCACAGACACACGAAGAAAUGAAGGCGGGUACAGGAGAGGAAGGGGACAAGAGGACAGAGGAAGGUCAGAAUGGCCUGCUUCACCAAUUGCCCCCUGCCCUGCCAUCCACCGCCAACUCCAGGCCCCACGAUGGCCCACCAGGGCACCAGACCAUGUGCAAGGUGGGCAGCAGGCUGGGUUUCAGGCAGAGCGGAGGCCCGCUGGGCUCCUCGAGGUCUGGCCUCGCCUCAGGCCUCCGCCCAGGUGGGAAGCACUCCUGCAGCCAUUGCAUCUGCACGGCCAUAAUUGAGCCUCUCUCUCUAGAGUGAUUUGUGUGUCAAAAAUACGCCAAGACUGUAAAUCAGGUGGUAGGAAGCUCUGUCUCCUGUUUUGCUGCUCAACCAAAGGGAGACAGACUGUACUGCCACGGGCUCCCAGAUCUGGAAAACCACAUCUGAUUUCAGAGGAGGUUUUUAACAGGCAUUAACAGGGGCCAGUGCUGGGGAGCAGGGCUCCCAGCUCUCCCUCCCUGGCCCAGCCACCUCCUCCCAGCUGGGGGGCUUAGCCGGCGGGGGACCUGAAAGCCAGGUGCCUAACAAACCCUGGUGUUCAAUAGCAGCUGCUCCAGCUCCUCCCCAGGAGGCUCCGGAGGGGAAUUUUCCACUGCCCAGUUCCAUUUAGCUCUGCCUGCCUGUGCUGCUGCCUUGACUCUUCCCAGUGAGAGCAGGAAGGUGGGGACCGGCACAGAGUCUCCCCAUCCAAAGGGGCUGCCACCGGCCAGAGGUGUCCGUGGGAGGCGGGUGGGACAGAGGAGUAGGUGUUGUUUGUUUCCUGUGCCCUGGCCCUACCUCACUAUUCUCUGAACCUGGAACGCUGGGUGUGUGGAGGUGCUGUGAGUGGGAACCAGGCCACCUUUUGAGUAGGGAGGAGAGAAUCAAGGCCCUGGUUGCAGGGAGUGGGGACAGAAGGCGAUAAGUCUCCCCCUCCCCGUGUCCCUCCCUUUCUCAGGAUGUCUGAGAGAUGCCCAGCGUGGGUGGGUGCUCCCUCCCCCCUGCCUCCGCUCCUCCUCCUCCCCGGAACUGCCGCCUCCUCCGCCUGAGUGGCUGAUGCCCUCUGGGUUCUGUUUUCAUUCCAGGCUGUGGAUCCGGUCGUGGGAAGCAGAUAUUUGAAGUGUUUCAUGAUCACGAUAAGAAUUACCGCCACCCACAGUAUCCAUCGCAGUGGGCAGAGCCCGUGGCAGUGAGCAUGCAGCUUGGCUCCCCAGCUCUGGUCCCAUCUCUACUGCUCUGGAGCUAUGGCACUUGGAAAAGUUUCUUCGCUUCUCAAGCCUCAGUGUCCUCAUCUGUAAAAUAAGGAUAAUAAUAGGACUUUCCUUAGAGUAUUUUUGUGAGGCUUACAUGAGUUAAAAUGUAAGGUGCUUAGUGUAAUGCUGGGCACACAACGAGUACAACAUAAGCAUCAGAUUUUUCUUCCUAUUUCUCAACCUGUGACACUCAGCUGUCAUCUCUGUGAAACUUUCCAGGACACUGUCCCCAUGUCUAAUCCAUCUAUCAAGACUGGGCCAAGGAGAACUGGGCGCUCCAUCCUGACUUCCACCUUGCUUAAUUGUGUAGCAUAACUAUUUGUCUGUCUGUCUGCCUGACUAUACUGCUCUCUUAUUUAUCUUUGUGUCCCUGAUGUCUGGCAAUGAUAGGAAUGUAAGAAUCAUUGUGGAUGACUGAAAGAACAAACAAAAAAAUGAACAAGUGAACGUCCCUCCUGUCUCCAGUGCAUCCACUAGUGUUUUCUCCCAUCCCCCCUCCUCUUUCCAGGCGCCCUGGACUAUUAGACUGGCUUAAGUCCCUCCAAUCACAGAAGAAAUACUUGACCAAGAGUCAUUACUCUAAACAAACACUCUUUCGGGGUUGUAAAAGAAACCCAUAUGUAGAAGGCAAGGUUAACACAAAGGAAAGAGUCUCUAAUGGUAGAAUCUAAGAUUCUAAGGCACGCACGUGUGCACACGCACACACACCAUCUAUCUCUGCUCAGAGGGAUUAUCUCAGCAAGUGAGACAUAUUGGAAGGUAAUGUGGGAACAGAGCUCUCAGGGAAAAAGUUGUGAAUGUUCUUUGAAGAGUUGUGCGUGAGUCACAUUUUUAAAAAACACAAAUCAUAUUCCUAGUGAAUAAAAGAAUGUUUUUAAUUUACUGGAGGACCUGGCUAGUUAAAUCUUAUUGUGAACUCUUUAUUAAAGACUGAAGUAAGGAAUUCUUUUGUUAAGUAAAUAUUCAGGCCCUUCCUUGCCAAAGAGCUUUUGAAAUCUUUGCUGUAAUUAUGCUGAUGUUUUCUGUGUUUAUAUGUUAAAUGCCUAGAGCUUAAUUGUUAAUGGGUAAAUAAGAGGAGCCACACGGUCCUUGCCAAGAGAGGCCCAAGAACCAGGGCUGUAAGAACAAUGGUUCCGCGGGGCUCCCCUGGAGGGGGUGAAAGGCAGUAGGGUAAGCCAGCGGCUUGGGCUCUUCUCUGUAGGCACG